rnacentral:misc_RNA from 1 species
CCCGUGGCACGCCCGCUCGCUCGCACGCGACCGUGUCGUCGCCCGGGCGUCACGGGGGCGGUCGCCUCGGCCCCCGCGCGGUCGCCCGAACGACCGUGUGGUGGUUGGGGGGGGAUCGUCUUCUCCUCCGUCUCCCGAGGACGGUUCGUUUCUCUUUCCCCUUCCGUCGCUCUCCUUGGGUGUGGGAGCCUCGUGCCGUCGCGACCGCGGCCUGCCGUCGCCUGCCGCCGCAGCCCCUUGCCCUCCGGCCUUGGCAAGCCGGAGGGCGGAGGAGGGGGAUCGGCGGCGGCGGCGGCGACCCGGGCCGGUGACCGACGGUGGGAUCCCCAUCCUCGGCGCGUCCGUCGGGGACGGCCGGUUGGAGGGGCGGGAGGGGUUUUUCCCGUGAACGCCGCGUUCGGCGCCAGGCCUCUGGCGGCCGGGGGGGCGCUCUCUCCGCCCGAGCAUCCCCACUCCCGCCCCUCCUCUUCGCGCGCCGCGGCGGCGACGUGCGUACGAGGGGAGGAUGUCGCGGUGUGGAGGCGGAGAGGGUCCGGCGCGGCGCCUCUUCCA